GAUGGUCCAAAAUGACCAAUAAUGUUUCCUCAUGGCACAUGACCUUGCAAGUUAUAUUUGACAUUUCUCAAAGAAUAAAAGUUGGUGAAGACAUCUUGAAACUGAUCAUGAGACUUGGAUGGCCUUCAUCUCAUAAAAAUUGAGCAAGUUAUGAUACUUGGAAGUUGGCCUUUUAACUAGGGCACCGACAAAAUGACCUAUAAUCUUUC
rnacentral:lncRNA from 1 species